rnacentral:rRNA from 1 species
GAAUCUGGCCUCAGGUCGGGGACAACCAUUGGAAACGAUGGCUAAUACCGGAUGUGCCAUUAGGUGAAAGAUUAAUUGCCUGAGGAUGAGCUCGCGUCUGAUUAGCUAGUUGGUGGGGUAAAAGCCUACCAAGGCGACGAUCAGUAACUGGUCUGAGAGGAUGACCAGCCACACUGGGACUGAGACACGGCCCAGACUCCUACGGGAGGCAGCAGUGGGGAAUUUUCCGCAAUGGGCGCAAGCCUGACGGAGCAAGACCGCGUGAGGGAGGAAGGCCCAAGCGGUUGUAAACCUCUUUUCUCAGGGAAGAAGAAAGUGACGGUACCUGAGGAAUCAGCCUCGGCUAACUCCGUGCCAGCAGCCGCGGUAAUACGGAGGAGGCAAGCGUUAUCCGGAAUUAUUGGGCGUAAAGCGUCCGUAGGUGGUUAUGUAAGUCUGCUGUCAAAGCACAGGGCUUAACCCUGUAAAGGCAGUGGAAACUACAAGACUCGAGUGCGGUAGGGGCAGAGGGAAUUCCCAGUGUAGCGGUGAAAUGCGUAGAGAUUGGGAAGAACACCUGUGGCGAAAGCGCUCUGCUGGACCGCAACUGACACUCAGGGACGAAAGCUAGGGGAGCG